GACCGCAUAGCUCAGUUGGAAGAGCAUUGGGCUAGUAUUCCAAAGGUUGUAGGUUCGAAUCCCACCGUGGCCG
rnacentral:tRNA from 1 species